rnacentral:rRNA from 1 species
AGCCUAACACAUGCAGUCGAGCGGUAACACAGGGAGCUUGCUCCUGGGUGACGAGCGGCGGACGGGUGAGUAAUGUCUGGGAAACUGCCUGAUGGAGGGGGAUAACUACUGGAAACGGUAGCUAAUACCGCAUAACGUCUUCGGACCAAAGUGGGGGACCUUCGGGCCUCAUNGCCAUCAGAUGUGCCCAGAUGGGAUUAGCUAAGUAGGUAGGGGUAACGGCUCACCUAGGCGACGAUACCCUAGCUAGGUCUGAGAGGAUAGACCAGCCACACUGGAACUGA